GUGGAUUAGAUACCCUAGUAGUCCACGCUGUAAACGAUGAUCACUCGUUGUUGGCGAUACACAGUCAGCGGCUAAGCGAAAGUGAUAAGUGAUCCACCUGGGGAGUACGAUCGCAAGGUUGAAACUCAAAGGAAUUGACGGGGGCCCGCACAAGCGGUGGAGCAUGUGGUUUAAUUCGAUGAUACGCGAGGAACCUUACCUGGGCUCAAACGUAGUAUGACGUAUGGUGAAAGCUAUAUUUCUUCGGACAUAUUACGAGGUGCUGCAUGGCUGUCGCCAACU
rnacentral:rRNA from 1 species